rnacentral:rRNA from 1 species
CCUACGGGAGGCAGCAGUGGGGAAUUUUGGACAAUGGGCGCAAGCCUGAUCCAGCAAUGCCGCGUGCAGGAUGAAGGCCUUCGGGUUGUAAACUGCUUUUGUACGGAACGAAAAAGUCUGCCCUAAUACGGUGGGCCCAUGACGGUACCGUAAGAAUAAGCACCGGCUAACUACGUGCCAGCAGCCGCGGUAAUACGUAGGGUGCGAGCGUUAAUCGGAAUUACUGGGCGUAAAGCGUGCGCAGGCGGUUAUAUAAGACAGAUGUGAAAUCCCCGGGCUCAACCUGGGACCUGCAUUUGUGACUGUAUAGCUAGAGUACGGUAGAGGGGGAUGGAAUUCCGCGUGUAGCAGUGAAAUGCGUAGAUAUGCGGAGGAACACCGAUGGCGAAGGCAAUCCCCUGGACCUGUACUGACGCUCAUGCACGAAAGCGUGGGGAGCAAACAGGAUUAGAUACCCUGGUAGUCCACGCCCUAAACGAUGUCAACUGGUUGUUGGGUCUUCACUGACUCAGUAACGAAGCUAACGCGUGAAGUUGACCGCCGUGGGGAGUAACGGCCGCAAGGUUGAAACUUCAAAUGAAUUGACGG